rnacentral:rRNA from 1 species
GCGGUAAGGCCCUUCGGGGUACACGAGCGGCGAACGGGUGAGUGUGGUGGGUGAUCUGCCCUGCACUUCGGGAUAAGCCUGGGAAACUGGGUCUAAUACCGGAUAUGAGCCUCCACUGCAUGGUGGGGGUUGGAAAGGUUUACUGGUGCAGGAUGGGCCCGCGGCCUAUCAGCUUGUUGGUGGGGUAAUGGCCUACCAAGGCGACGACGGGUAGCCGGCCUGAGAGGGCGACCGGCCACACUGGGACUGAGACACGGCCCAGACUCCUACGGGAGGCAGCAGUGGGGAAUAUUGCACAAUGGGCGAAAGCCUGAUGCAGCGACGCCGCGUGAGGGAUGACGGCCUUCGGGUUGUAAACCUCUUUCAGCAGGGACGAAGCGAGAGUGACGGUACCUGCAGAAGAAGCACCGGCCAACUACGUGCCAGCAGCCGCGGUAAUACGUAGGGUGCGAGCGUUGUCCGGAAUUACUGGGCGUAAAGAGCUCGUAGGCGGUUUGUCGCGUCGUCUGUGAAAACCAGCAGCUCAACUGCUGGCUUGCAGGCGAUACGGGCAGACUUGAGUACUGCAGGGGAGACUGGAAUUCCUGGUGUAGCGGUGAAAUGCGCAGAUAUCAGGAGGAACACCGGUGGCGAAGGCGGGUCUCUGGGCAGUAACUGACGCUGAGGAGCGAAAGCGUGGGUAGCGAACAGGAUUAGAUAC